rnacentral:misc_RNA from 1 species
AAGUCGUAACAAGGUUUCCGUAGGUGAACCUGCGGAAGGAUCAUUAUCGUGGGGCUCCGGCCCCGUCGAGAUAGCACCCUUGACUUUUCAAGCACCGUACGUUUCCUCGGCAGGCUCGCCUGCCAAUGGGGACCCCGAAAACUCUCCUGCAAUGAGCAGUGCUCUGUCUGAUUAAAACAAACAAAAAUAUAUCAAAACUUUCAACAAUGGAUCUCUUGGUUCUG